UCAUCCCGCAGCUCUUCUCCGUGCCGCCGCCGCCUCCGCUCCCCCUUCCUCUCGGCCGCAGCCUCGUCUCCGCCGCCUCCACCACCUCCUCCUCCCAUGCCUCUCCUCGUCCCCUCCCUCUCCCUCCGUGCUCAAUCGCAGGAGCCGGGGUCGCUGCCGCACCGCACGAUGGUGGGCGAGGGCGAGCUCCGUGCUUCCCGCCGCUCCCAGCCACCGGGCGCCGUCCUGUCGACGCAGCCCACCGCACGCUGCCACCAGCGUCUUCUUCGCUGCGGUAGAGGCACAACUUGGGCCUGGGGAACCUGCCAGCGGGGGUGCGUCGGCGCCGGCGUCGUCUCCAUGAGAGGGACGAAUCAGGACGGAUCCAAGUUGCCGACGGCUUUGCUGCCAUGGACGAGCCCGAGCCCAGCGACCAAGGACGGCACUACAUUGUCAUCUGCACAGCCAAAUCAAGGACCUAAGCUCCUGGAACGGCCCUCCUAUGCCCUGCUCCUCGCAUUGGCGCAAAUUCGCCUCCUCCCCCGCCUUCGUCUCCAUCUGUGCAGCGACGACCUCGGGAGGAGCUCGAGCCGCAGCGGUGGUCCAUGGUGCCAUCGCCGUCGUCCUUGGCAGGAGAAGCGUGGGCUGCAGAGACGGCCGGAUCUGUCCGACCCUCGUGCUGCCGUCCGUCCACCCUCGAGGAUAAUCUGUUUGUUCAGCUGAUCUGUACAGUUUCAAUACCGGGUUGUUAAGGAGAUUGCAAAUGAUGCAUAUUCUAUGAGUUGCAGACCCCCCAACAGCAAAUUCAGUCCUACGUCUUUGAAUUUCUUAGAACUUCGAUCCAGUCUGGUCCUCAGCAGAGGCAAUCAAGAACUUGUACGAGUAGAGCUGUCCUAGAGACUGCAUUUAUACGUAAGCAAAGAGAACACAUAAUCAAUUUCUACUACCAGCUACAAAGUUCAUUGUACGAUGCGUACAAAUUAUUGAUCUCAUUUUUCAGAAUAAAGCUGCAGGCCGAGUUCAGAUUGUUCUUUUGCCGGAAAUGGAACAGGUCCAAUGUCAUGGGAGAGCCACCAGUUCAGAUGAAUUUCUAUCUAUUCGCUUAUUUCCUGUUUCUUUUGGCUUCCCCAAUCCUAAAGGUAAUAAUAUGAUUUCUUUAUGUUGUGUGACCAAAUUCAGAAGUGAACUUUUGCUGUUUAUAUGCUCAGUGUGCCCUAUACAUGUUGUUUGGAAAUUCUUUUUCUCUGCAACCUAGAUUCGUUCUGCUCCCCAUUUUUCCUUUUUCUGUUGCCAUGAGCCUAUGCCCGGGAUCCUAAUAUAGUGCCAUAUUUCGUCCUUAGACACUGUUUUGGUUGAUUUUAGUUCUUGCUAAACUCCACCCAAUGCAUAUUUUCUGUUAUCCCGAGGAUGGUGCUUAGGCAGGCUCUGGUUUCAGAUCUGGCCUAUAUUCAGUUUUAGAGAGAAUUAGCACAGAUUUGGGGAUUCUCCUUAUAACAAUGAAAGAAAGCAUCUGAGUUUAAGAUUGAGGCAAUAUUUCUGUUCAGUUAGGACUUAGUAUUGUGUUCUGAUGGCUAGAGAACAGAGAACAAUUCUCCUUCACUUCCUGAUAGCUGAAACUGGUUCGCACGAUUAACUUGUUGUAGAUAUUAUAUUUGUUCUUCACAAAAAAGAUUGCCGUGGACUAUGUGAUGCACAUGGCUGAUUGACUGAAUAUUUUGUUAAGGGUGAAAAUACUGCAGGGCCUUCCUCUGAAGUGUGUUAUUGAUGAACCAGCAGCCUGUCGUAGCAAGGGAUGAGAUGACCUGAUGAGUAGAAAAAUUGAAGGAAUAACACUGCAUAUUCAUGAGUCGAGUUCCUCUGUUUUGCAAUCCCAUAGGUAGGAUUCAGAUGGACAUAACAGUGGCAACAAAUUAGACCUUUCGCCUCCUCUCUGAAGAGAAACGCACGACUUCAGUUUGUUUAGUUUUUUUGCUGUCAUAAUAAGACCCUGAAACCAUCUUCCAUCGAACACAUAUCUGUAGUAUAUAUACUAUGUACAGGGUGCAAACAUGGACAUUUAUGCAGAUAAAUAUAUUUGCUGACCAAGCAAUUCCCCUCUUUUGAGACAAAGUGAUGCCCUGUUGCAUGUAUGAUGUAUCUCAGUUCAUGUUCUUCAUCAUUUAAGUGUUUCGGAUGAUCAUCCUUGUUUCUAUGGAUUGCCAUUUUGUCCAACGAGAACAGUGAAACAUCAAAUUUAGUUAACCAUCUCAUAUCUGCAUUUGCUUUGUGAUGUUUCCGUUCUACCUACAAUAUUUGAAAUACGAUAUUUUAUUGCUCACUGGGAACAAGCAUCACUUUCUUGUAAUAUCUUUAUCUUCCUUGAGUUUUUCCGUGAGUUUGUGCUACGCUGCUAUGCUGCCAAAGAGCUCCAGCAAGCAUGUGUGCCUACUCUCCUUGCCCCUAAACUCCUGUACCAGCAACAACAACUCGUGUGUGGUAUCAGCCAGAGAUUAGUGUUGAUUUUUUUCAAGUUAUUGGGACACUCGAGAACUAGCAGUACGACAUAAAAACGUCUGGAGUUAGCAGAACCAGAAGCAUUAUACUGAGGCGCUCAGAAGAAACCCAAAGGAUCCAAAGGCAUACGGCAACACGGCUGCCUGUUACACCAAGACAGGUGCCAUGCCUGAAGUACUGAAGGAUACCGAGAAGUGCAUCGAGCUAGAUCCCACAUUCUACAAGGGGUACACGAGGAAGGGUGCAAUCCUGUUUGUCUCUAAAGAAUGCGACAAAGCAAUGGAAUGAGCGUGCCUGAGUGGUAACAUAUAUUGCUGAUCGUCUUAGCGAUACAACAACAGUCUGAAUAUGAUCUCCAGCAAACAAACCACUAUUAUUGGAGCCUGGACGAUGAUAUCGAAGGAAUUUCUGCUCUGAGCAAUGCAGGCUACGAAGAAUAGCAGUUAUGAAGAGCUGCCUCAAAGAAGUUGUUCUAAACAUCCAGCGAUACAUCUGUCUAACGUAUCUCUGCCUAUCUACAUGCCUUGCUCAUAACAUUGUUAAUGAUCGUUCGUAAGCUUCUUAGAAAACAUGUAUCAUCAGCAACAAUCUAUCUAUCAUCAAUCCAUACUUCCAUAUGUUUCA